UACGAAGGGUGCAAGCGUUACUCGGAAUUACUGGGCGUAAAGGGUGCGUAGGUGGUCGUUUUAAGUCCGUUGUGAAAUCCCUGGGCUCAACCUGGGAAUGGCAGUGGAUACUGGACGGCUAGAAUGCGGUAGAGGGUAGUGGAAUUCCCGGUGUAGCAGUGAAAUGCGUAGAUAUCAGGAAGAACACCAAUGGCGAAGGCAGCUCUCUGGGGACGGUACUGACGCUGAGACGCGAAAGCGUGGGGAGCGAACAGG
rnacentral:rRNA from 1 species